CGCUUAUUUUGCUCAGGCGGAGCUGACGGGUCCCAUGCACGCAAGCGUGCAUGGGUUCCCUUCGACCGCCCGUAUCGGAAGUGACGGCCUUCAUGGAGGCCCAUGUGGAGAGCUACGGGAUCGAGCCGAUGUGCAGGGUUCUGCGGAUCGCCCCC
rfam:Proteobacteria bacterium SG_bin8 2109, whole genome shotgun sequence.